rnacentral:rRNA from 1 species
UACGUAGGGGGCAAGCGUUAUCCGGAUUUACUGGGUGUAAAGGGAGCGUAGACGGAAUUGCAAGUCUGAUGUGAAAAUCCGGGGCCCAACCCCGGAACUGCAUUGGAAACUGUGUAGCUAGAGUGCAGGAGAGGUAAGUGGAAUUCCUAGUGUAGCGGUGAAAUGCGUAGAGAUCGGGAGGAACACCAGUGGCGAAGGCGGCCUACUGGGCUUUAACUGACGCUGAGGCACGAAAGCGUGGGUAGCAA